UCGCCUGUUUUAUCAAAAACAUGUCUUUUUGAAUUUUUUUAAAAGUUUAACCUGCCCACUGAGAUUUUAAAUGGCCGCAGUAUAUUAACUGUGCAAAGGUAGCAUAAUCAUUAGUCUUUUAAUUGAAGGCUGGUAUGAAUGGUUGGACGAAAUAUUAACUGUUUCAUAUAAAUUUAUAUUAUAAUUUUAUUUUUUAGUUAAAAAGCUAAAAUAUAUUUAAAAGACGAGAAGACCCUAUAAAUCUUUAUAUUUAGAUUAUUAUAAUUUUGAGGAUAAAUUUAUUUAUAAUAAUUAAUAAUAUUUUAUUGGGGUGAUAUUAAAAUUUAAAAAACUUUUAAUUUUAAAUUUCAUUAAUUUAUGAAUAAUUGAUCCGUUAUUAACGAUUAAAAAUUUAAGUUACUUUAGGGAUAACAGCGUAAUUUUUUUGGAGAGUUCUUAUUGAUAAAAAAGAUUGCGACCUCGAUGUUGGAUUAAGAUAUAAUUUUAGGUGUAGCAGCUUAAAUUUUGAGUCUGUUCGACUUUUAAAUUCUUACAUGAUCUGAGUUUAAACCGGUGUAAGCCAGGUUGGUUUCUAUCUUUAAAAAUUUAAAAUAUUUCAGUACGAAAGGACCUAAUAUUUAAUAAAUAAUUAUUUUUAUAUUGAAUAUCAUUAAUAU
rnacentral:rRNA from 1 species